UACGGAGGGAGCUAGCGUUGUUCGGAUAUACUGGGCGUAAAGCGCACGUAGGCGGCGCAGCAAGUCAGGGGUGAAAUCCCGGAGCUCAACUCCGGAACUGCCUUUGAAACUGCAGUGCUAAGAAUCCUGGAGAGGCGAGUGGAAUUCCGAGUGUAGAGGUGAAAUUCGUAGAUAUUCGGAAGAACACCAGUGGCGAAGGCGACUCGCUGGACAGGUAUUGACGCUGAGGUGCGAAAGCGUGGGGAGCAAACAGG
rnacentral:rRNA from 1 species